GAUCAUGGCUCAGGAUGAACGCUGGCGGCGUGCUUAACACAUGCAAGUCGAGCGAAGCACUUAGGAAAGAUUCUUCGGAUGAUUUCCUAUUUGACUGAGCGGCGGACGGGUGAGUAACGCGUGGGUAACCUGCCUCGUGCAGGGGGAUAACAGUUAGAAAUGACUGCUAAUACCGCAUAAGACCACAGCACCGCAUGGUGCAGGGGUAAAAACCUCCGGUGGUAUGAGAUGGACCCGCG
rnacentral:rRNA from 1 species